UACCAGCACCCCGAGUGGUCGGGACGUUUAUUGGGCCUAAAGCAUCCGUAGCCGGUUCUACAAGUCUUCCGUUAAAUCCAACUGCUUAACAGGUGGGCUGCGAAAGAUACUAUAGAGCUAGGAGGCGGGAGAGGCAAGCGGUACUCGGUGGGUAGGGGUAAAAUCCGUUGAUCCAUUGAAGACCACCAGUGGCGAAGGCGGCUUGCCAGAACGCGCUCGACGGUGAGGGAUGAAAGCUGGGGGAGCAAACCGG
rnacentral:rRNA from 1 species